GAAUGUUGUUUUUCCAUUUAUUGGAAUGCUUUGCAGACUCUACCUGGCUGCGAUGUACUACAAUGAAAACGCAGACCGACCACAGGCCACAACCAAGGAAGGCGAUCCUCUCUUCAAGGUUCACUUUCCAAAGGCUUUGAAAGGAGAAUGCAGAGUAAAACCACAUAAGACAGAGCCAACAUUCAGGUAUGUUGCUGACAUGAUGGACCUCAUAUUUGAAAAAGUCCUUGUG